rnacentral:tRNA from 1 species
GCGCUGGCGCACACACUGGCGCACGAACCCGAAAAGCCCUGCAAAUCACCGGUUCUGUAACGGGCUCGAAACCGUUACCGGCGGUUUUCGUCGGUCGAGGGUUCAAAUCCCUCCCCUCCGCU